UACGUAGGGUGCGAGCGUUGUCCGGAAUUAUUGGGCGUAAAGAGCUCGUAGGCGGUGUGUCACGUCGGCCGUGAAAACCUGGGGCUUAACUCUGGGCGUGCGGUCGAUACGGGCAUCACUAGAGUUCGGCAGGGGAGACUGGAAUUCCUGGUGUAGCGGUGAAAUGCGCAGAUAUCAGGAGGAACACCGGUGGCGAAGGCGGGUCUCUGGACCGUAACUGACGCUGAGGCGCGAAAGCGUGGGGAGCAAACAGG
rnacentral:rRNA from 1 species